rnacentral:rRNA from 1 species
UACGUAGGGUGCGAGCGUUAAUCGGAAUUACUGGGCGUAAAGUGUGCGCAGGCGGUUGUUUAAGUCGAAUGUGAAAGCCCCCGGCUCAACUGGGGAGGGUCAUUCGAUACUGAUCGACUUGAAGGCAGGAGAGGGAAGUGGAAUUCCGGGUGGAGCGGUGAAAUGCGUAGAGAUCCGGAGGAACACCGACGGCGAAGGCAGCCUCUGGAAAGUACCCGACGACGUGAGGGGCGAAAGCUAGGGGAGCGAACGGG